CCUUUAUCUUCAAUUGAAAAGAAGGUAAUAAAAGUUCAGAAUUGUUAUCGACAGUUAGUUAUGGCCGCCUUUUGCAUUUUGAAUGACUUUUUUUUGUUCUGCGUGUUUUAUUGUAGUGCAUGUCCGACUGUCGCCAUGUGCAAGCUUGCAAACUAAGGUUAACAGGUUGACGGCGUUGACUCAUUUACAAAACCGCUCAAACCAAACAGUUUUUAAAACGUUUUAAAAAUAAUAGCGGUAAAGUUAAAAAUCCCCCAAGUAGCGUCUUGCUUUCGCCUGGAGUCCGACAAAAAGUCGACACUAACUCCACCUUUGGCGAGCAGCAAGUGUUGUUGUUUUUUUAUUUUAGUUUUUUUUCGGCCGCCGCCGUGGCAGGGUUUCUCUGUUAACUCGACGUAAAUCUCCUCGGGCUGGACCACUGCUCUGGUGCAGCUAGGUUUCUGAGAGUGUAAACACAGCAGUUCGUUGCGCUACGGAGCUCUCCACAGUCUGAUGUUAUUCACGUUAUUGAGGAGGGAGAGAACGUGUGCUACCGUGAGUGUAAAAGUACUGUUGCACGGUUUGUGUGCAUUAACGUUAGCUCGUAGCCUGGUGUAGCCACCACCAACCUCCAAGGCACACUUAUCAGGUGUUUGUCGUGACAUGCAGCUUUGCUAUGGAUUUUUACAGUAUCUCUCGAUCGCACCGCGCCACAUUCACGCACUUGUAGUUUUCAGUCAAAUCAGUCCCUCCACAAACAUAAAGAAGCAUAUUUAAUGUACUUGUCCACUGGAAAUAAUAGAACCAGUCAUACAUUGGAUUAACUAUUGUUUUAACUCUCUUUAUUAUUAUGUACGUUAAAGUUAUUGUACUUCUCCCUCACCCUGUCUCUCUUUUCUCUCUCAAUUCAUCACAGAAAUUUGUGGCAGUAAACGUGUCCAGUGCCAUCAUACAAGUCACCACCAUUGGCCAUACUCCUGUGAAAGCGUCCUCUUCUGGCAUCAUCAAACAAGAGUGACUGCAGGAAAAGGGAGUCAUCUGCUAGUGUCAGGGUCAGUGUAGACAGUAAGUUUGUACACAAAUGUAGUGACAAACUGUUUAAGAUCAAGUAUGGUGAAAAGGGAAAGAUGGGAAAUGAAAAAUGUUAAAUGCCCAGAUGUUAGAUUGUACCAUUGUGUGUUACUGAUAUGUGGAGGUGCAAGGAGUGUAGUCUAUCUUUUUCGACUAGAUAUGAUCUACUUAAACAUUUAAGACUACAUCACCGCCAUAGACGACUUCACUCAUGCCCAUAUCAAAACUGUCCAUGCAAUUUUAAGACGCAAAAUGCGUUGCGCAUACAUUUAAGUAGAGUUCAUCCUAAGCAAACUCAAAGUCAGGAGCUCCUGGAAUUGAAAACAUUUUGUUGUCCUUUGUGCAACUGUAGCAAUAUUUCUACAGAGAGGGACUUUUUCACACAUAUUGGCAUUCAUUUUAAGAGUCAUGAAACUGUUACCUGUAUGUUUGGGGAUUGUACUUUUAAAACAAAUAUCUAUGCAACAUUUCACUCCCACAAGAACCGGAAACACAACCCCCAUACAUUAAAUGAUUUUAAACCAGGGAUAGUGACAACAACCAGAGUUUCACAAGAAUCAACUGACAGUGCAGAGGACGAUACACUUAACCCAGAUGACUGUGUAGUGGAAUUAAACAGUGCAUCUUCAAAUAAUGAUGAUAUAAGCAAGACCCUGCCUGACAUUAUUGAGCAGAACUUUGCUGCAGCUUUGCUUAAACUAGAACAUUUCGCACAUGUGCCAGGCACAAAAGUUGAUGAGUUUCUACAGGAGCUACACUAUUUGUUAUGCUCAGCUGCAUUUCCUCUCACUGUUAACACUAUUGAAACUAUGUUUCAGAAACAUGGCUCCGUACCUGAAAAGUCAGUGAUAAAAGAAGUCGCCACAGCCCUUGCCACGUCUCACCCCUUGCUAAAAUCUAUAGAGAAAGGUGGCUCUUUGAGCACAUCAUAUCUCCGAAACAAAUUUUACAGGGAGAACUUUAAUGUCAUUGAACCCACUGAGUACAUGCUUGAUGAAAAGGAAAACAAAAGCUUUCAGUAUGUGCCUUUACUGAAGAGCUUGCAACAGCUCUUCAAUAGGAAAGAUGUUGUGGAUAAAGUUGUUGAAAAUCACAGAGCACAUCAGAGUCAUGGGGUCACAGGAGAACAGUGUACUUAUAAAUCAUUUCAAGAUGGCUCUCACUUUAAGGGAAAUGGUUUUCUUUCAGGGGGUGAGUUAAGAAUCUUGCUAACUUUGUACAUAGAUGAUUUCGAGCUGUGUAAUCCUCUUGGCACUUCGCGCAGGAAACAUAAGCUCUGUGGUAUCUACUGGACUUUGAGUAAUUUGCCACCAGGCUCACAUUCAGCACUUUCUGCGAUUUACCUGGCAAUCUUGUGCAAAUCUGAUAAUGUGAAGAAGUACGGUUAUGACAAUGUCCUGCAUCCUCUUCUUCAAGAUGUAAAAACACUUGAGCAGGAAGGAAUUUUUGUCCCAUUGCUUGGUAAAUGUGUUAAAGGCACAAUUCAAGUUGUUGCAGCGGAUAACCUCAGUGCCCAUAGUGUGGCAGGUUUUAAUGAAAGUUUUUCUGGUGGGUACAUCUGCCGAUUCUGCACAGCAACACGGGCAGAGAUCCAAACAAGAGAUGUGAAAUCAGGUUUAUUUGAUCUGAGGACUAAAGAACUACAUGACUCGCAUGUGCAUUCAGCCCAGCAGAACAGUUCAAGCUGUUUUGGGGUGAAAGGCCCAUGUGUAAUCACCAAAAACCUUGCCCACUUUAAUGUUCUGACUGGUUAUCCACCAGAUAUCAUGCAUGAUGUCUUUGAAGGCAUCGUACCUGUGGAGCUUGCACAUUGUUUGUCACUGCUGAUAUCCAAGAAAUAUUUCAGUCUUGAGCUUCUGAACAAGUCUAUCCUUAGUUUUCCCUUCAAGUGGUCAGACAAGACUAACAGGCCCCACGUAAUUCCACACACAUUCUCAAAAACAAUCGGGGGGAACGCUCAUGAGAACUGGGCUUUGAUAAGAUUUCUUCCAUUCAUCAUUGGGCAUCUUGUGCCAGAAGAUGAAAUGGCAUGGCAAAUUUUAAUGGUUCUAAAAGAUGUUGUAGAGCUGGUGGUUGCUCCAACACACACAGAAGACUCUGUUGCUUACCUUGAGUGCAAAAUUUCAGAGCACCGCAAAAGAUACCAAGAACUGUUUCCUAAUGUGCAGCUUCUACCCAAACAUCAUUACCUAGACCAUUAUCCUGGACUCAUCAGGCAGUUUGGUCCUCUCGUUGGUCUCUGGACUAUGCGAUUCGAGGCCAAGCACAGUUUUUUUAAGCAUGUAAUUCGACACUCCAACUGCUUCAAAAACGUGCCCCUCUCGCUAGCUUUUAAGCAUCAGCUCAUGAUUUCGUAUCACAUGAGAGCAUCCAGUUUUGAAAAGCCUGUCCUUGAGCUGACAAAUGUCUCAACAGUUCCUAUUGAUGUUUUAAAAACAGACAUUGUUGAGAACAUUGAACAAAGAUUUCCUGGUACCAGAGAGGUACACAUGACUCGAUCUGUGUCAACCAAAGGUGUAACUUUUAAAAAGGACAUGAUUAUAGCUCAUGGGUCUACAAGUGGACUUCCUGAUUUUGGACAGAUUGUUCACGUUUUUGUUAUUCAGGAGAGACUGUUUUUUAUGGUUAAGAGACUUUGUGGAUGGUAUAGUGAGCAUUACAGGGCUUUUGAGCUCACGUCAUGUCCAACCAAAGACACAGAUCUGAUUGAGCUUAGUGACCUAGCAGAUGACUACCCUCUGGCAGACUACUUUGUUGGAUCUCUAAGAAUGGUGACAUUGAAAAGACACAUACAUGUAUAAGAUUGUUGAUGAAAUGGCUGCUCCAGUGAAGCUCAGAGUCAUCCUUGGAGAAAACGAUUCCCAGAGACUGAUCCUGCAGGACGGAAUCCCAGAGACUAUUGGUGAACUUGUUCAGCACAUUAAGAGGCAGUGUGGGGUAGAGGACCACUUCAGGCUGCAAUUUAUGGAUGCUGAGUUUGGCAAUGAAUUCACCAACUUGACUUCAGUGUUAGAGAUCCAGGACAAAAGUACCUUAAAGCUUGUCUUUGAUUCAGCUCCCGCUGCCUCUGCCCUGCCUGGUGGCUCCCCACCUCCACCCUGCUCCACUCCUGCCACAUCAUGGUCUGGUGAUGACUCAUCACUUUCAUUUAGUAGCUUGUGUGACACAGACAUCCUGUCUUCUCCUGAGUCCACCCCUUCAAGAUCCUCUGGAUGGCCUGUUGUUUUUGUUGUACCCCGUUUCCCAUAUGAUUGUCAGCUUCAGCUGGACAAGGCCAAUGCGGCAUUCAAAGAAAGUGGAACUUUAUUGGAUCCAGAUGUUAGACUUAAAACUGCCAUUCUUGACAGUUUAGCUGAGGAAAUUGUUCGGUACAAAGUGUACCCCUCAGACAGUGAGUUUGAAGAGGUUGCUGAAGCCCUUGUGUCAUCCCAUCCAUGUUUGAAAGAGCCAGGCUCUGCCACUGGAUAUGGUGGCUGGAAGGUGAGCUUAAAGUACAAACUUGCUAACUACCGGAGGAAGCUCAAGCGGCUUGGAUGUCCAGAAGUUGAACUGAAUUCGCUGACAAAUAAACCUGCAGACAAAUGCAGUCCUGCUUAUGGUGUGAAGAAGCCCAGAAGAGCAGAAGUAAAUUACUGCCCCACCUACCCAUCUGAUGAAUCUGCAGAGACACUUGAAAAAAUAAGAGAGACCCUGCUUUUAGAAGUAAAGAAAAGGAACAAUCAGGGCACAGUGGCGGCCAUGAUGGAGAAGACCUUUGCACACAGAAGGCAAGAGGUUAUUCGUGAUGCACCCUUGAUUGCUGAUUUCAAAACCAAAUGGCCGGCUCUCUUCUGUGUACGCGAGCUAACUGCUGAAUUCAAGAGGAUUACAACCGUCAGUUUGCUGCCAAAGUUCUUCUCCCAACUGGAUGCUCUAUCUUCAAAGCUGAUGAAGGUGUUUUCCAAGAAAGGGGGCGGUCAAGGAAGAAAGAUCAAGAGCAUCAUGAUACCCAUCACCCAGACCGAUGCCAUUGAUGUCAGAAGAGAGUGCAUCAUCAAAGCCCUGUGUGUCUACUUAAAUGAAGAGCCAGAGAACCUCGUGAAAGAAUACAUGAACACAGAUGGUGAAAGCAGUGAAGCUGCGAUGAUGAAGACUACAUUUGGAAUAUUUGUCAUUCGCAAAGAAGAUGCAGAGCCAAAAGAUGGACCGGAAGAUGUAGGUAUCAUUCUGGAGGGCGUGCAAGUUCUGGAUGAGCUCGGAAACGUACCACUUGCCGUGGGAAUGUUGUUCGCACUUGUAUACGCGCUCAACCUCAGCUAUCCACCAGAGCUGCGAUACACCUUCGAAGCUUUGCAGAAGCUUAUCAUGGAGCUUGAUGGAAACCGACUCUCAAAAAAAAUUCAAACACUGAAAACACUACUUGCACGUUAGUCAUCCUCAUUAGAGUAAACUACUGUUCAGGUAGCAGUGACUCUAUUUGAAGCCUUUCAGGCAUUUACCUUCAAAUAUGAUAAGCUGUUGUUAAUGUGUUUUGAUACUUUAAACUGUUGAUAUUUGGAGGUUAGAGGAGAAUAAUGUUUAGAAGUGUUUCUUUAAACAAGGGAAGGAAAAAAAAAGUUGUCAAACAACAAAGUUUUCUUUUGAAACUUGAGAUGAUGCACAAUGCUGUAUUUAACAUUUUUCUUUGCACACAGUUGCCAGGACCGUAUUCUGCAUAUAGCUUCAUAACCAGCUUUGAUUUGUUUUUUGGUCAUCAGAAAGCUCCAAAUAUAGACACCUAAUACUGGUUGUUUAAGUGGUUUACACUUGAAAUUUGAAAUUGUUUGUAUUUUCACAGCAACAUGUUUUCAGCCAAUUGCUUGAAAGUGAGUUUUGCCAUUUCUGGUAAAGUGUUAUUCCAACAAAUCCAGUUUGCUUCGUGUUUUUCUUUUCCAAAACUUGACACCAGCUUGGGGAAAAUAGGUUGACAUUUGUAUAAAUUGUGGAAUAUAAAAAUACUGUUAAAUUA